UUUAGGCUGGGUUUCUGUACAGCACUUUGAGAUAUCAGCUGAUGUACGAAGGGCUAUAUAAAUACAUUUGAUUUGAAUUGAUUUGAGGGUUGGGUGCUCUAGAUUAGUCAAGGACUGGAGGGUUGGGUCCUCCUCUAGAUUAGUGAAGGAGAGGAGGGGUGGGUCCUCCUCUAGAUUAGUGAAGGACUGGAGGGUUGGGUCCUUCCCUAGGUUAGUGAAGGACUGGAGGGUUGGGUCCUUCCCUAGGUUAGUGAAGGAUAGGAGGGUUGGGUCCUCCUCUAGAUUAGUGAAGGAGUGGAGGGUUGGGUCCUCCUCUAGAUUAGUGAAGGAGUGAAGGGUUGGGUCCUCCUCUAGAUUAGUGAAAGAGUGGAGGGUUGUGUCCUCCUCUAGAUUAGUGAAGGAUCGGAUGGUUAGGUCCUCCUCUAGAUUAGUGAAAAGGUGAAGGGUUCAGUCCUCCUCUAGAAUAGUGAAGGAUUGGAGGGUUCGGUCCUCCUCUAAAUUAGUGAAGGAGUGAAGGGUUGGGUCCUCCUCUAGAUUAGUGAAGGAGUGAAGGGUUGGAUCCUCCUCUAGGUUACUGAAGGACCGGAGGGUUUGGUCCUCCUCUAGAUUAGUGAAAGAGGGGAGGGUUCGGUCCUCGUCUAGAUUAGUGAAGGACUGAAAGAUUGGGUCCUCCCCUAAGGUUAGUGAAUGAGUGAAGGGUUGGGUCCUCCCCUCGGUUAGUGAAGGAGUGAAGGGUUGGGUCCUCCUCUAGAUUAGUGAAGGAUUGGAGGGUUGGGUCCUCUAAAUUAGUGAAGGAGUGAAGGGUUGGGUCCUCCUCUAGAUUAGUGAAGGAUUGGAUACUCCUCUAGGUUAGUGAAGGAGUGGAGGGUUGGGUCCUCCUCUAGAUUAGUGAAGGAGUGGAGGGUUGGGUCCUCCUCUAGAUUAGUGAAGGAGUGGAGGGUUGGGUCCUCCUCUAGGUUAGUGAAGGAGUGGAGGGUUGGGUCCUCCUCUAGAUUAGUGAAGGAGUGAAGGGUUGGGUCCUCCCCUAUGUUAGUGAAGGAGUGGAGGGUUGGGUCUUCCUCUAAUUUAGUGAAGGAGUGGAGGGUUGGGUCCUCCUCUCAUUUAGUGAAGGAGUGGAGGUUUGGGUCCUCCACUAGGUUAGUGAAGGAGUGGAGGGUUGAGUCCUCCUCUAUAUUAGUGAAGGAGUGAAGGGUUGGGUCCUCCUCUAGAUUAGUGAAAGAGUGGAGGGUUGGGUCCUUCAUCUAGAUUAGUGAAGGACUGGAGGGUUUGGGUCCUCCUCUAGAUUAGUGAAGUAGUGGAGGGUUUGGGUCCUCCUCUAGAUUAGUGAAGGACUGGAGGGUUUGGGUCCUCCUCUGGUUUAGUGAAGGAGUGGAGGGUUUGGGUCCUCCUCUGGUUUAGUGAAGGAGUGGAGGGUUUGGGUCCUCCUCUGGUUUAGUGUAGGACUGGAGGGUUUGGGUCCUCCUCUAGAUUAGUGAAGUAGUGGAGGGUGUGGGGCCUCCUCUAGAUUAGUGAAGGAGUGGAGUGUUUGGGUCCUCCUCUAGAUUAGUGAAGGAGUGGAGGGUUUGGGUCCUCCUCUAGAUUAGUGAAGGAGAGGAGCGUUUGGGUCCUCCUCUAGUUUAGUGGAGGGUUGGGUCCUCCUCUAGAUUAGUGAAGGAGUGGAGGGUUUGGGUCCUCCUCUAGAUUAGUGAAGGAGUGGAGGGUUGGGUCCUCCUCUAGAUUAGUGAAGGAGAGGAGCGUUUGCGUCCUCCUCUAGUUUAGUGGAGGGUUGGGUCCUCCUCUAGAUUAGUGAAGGAGUGGAGGGUUGGGUCCUCCUCUAGAUUAGUGAAGGAGUGGAGGGUUGGGUCCUCC
ensembl:lncRNA